UACGUAGGGGGCAAGCGUUGUCCGGAAUCAUUGGGCGUAAAGCGCGCGUAGGCGGCCCGGUAAGUCCGCUGUAAAAGUCCAGGGCUCAACCCUGGAAAGCCGGUGGAUACUGUCGGGCUAGAGUCCGGAAGAGGCGAGUGGAAUUCCUGGUGUAGCGGUGGAAUGCGCAGAUAUCAGGAAGAACACCCGUGGCGAAGGCGGCUCUCUGGGACGGUACUGACGCUGAGACGCGAAAAGCGUGGGGAGCGAACAGG
rnacentral:rRNA from 1 species